rnacentral:rRNA from 1 species
CCCUUAGAUGUUCUGGGCUGCACACGUGCUACACUGGAAGGUUCAGCGAGCUUCAUGCCCUGAUCUGAAAGGAAUGGGAAAUCUUUUCAAAACCUGCCGUGCUUGGGAUAGAUGUUUGCAAUUAUUCAUCUUCAACGAGGAUUGCCUUGUAAGCGCACGUCAUCAGCGUGCAUUGAAUACGACCCUGUAUUCUGUACACACCGCCCGUCGCUCCUACCGAUUGAAGUUUUCGGUGAGUUGACAGGAGGAUUUUUUUGAAACUGGUUCGCCAGUGGAUUUUAGAUCCAAAUGCCAACGAAUCGAUGGCUUUAGAGGAAGGAGAAGUCGUAACA